rnacentral:lncRNA from 13 species
UUUGAGUCUUGUUAGUCUUUUUUCCUUUAGUUUUGAGAUUUCUUUUCAAAGAUAGAUCUAAUAAAGCUGAUGAAGUUCUUCUGUCACAUUUUAGAAAAGACAGAUGAUUUCGACUUGGGAAAAUAACUUGAUGGAAGGUGAAGAAAUGGACAUUGGUCCAGACAUGGACACACCUUUGGUCUGGAGAAAGUGAUGAGGGAAAUGAUCAACAGCCAUUAAGCAGAGAGGACUCUGGAAUUCAGGGAGACAGGACACCAUUAGAAGAACAAGAUCAAAACAGAAAACUGGGUUCUUGUAUCAGUUGGAAAGCCUAGCCCUCUACUCCAUAGCAGAAGCAACAGCUCAUAGGAGUCGGCUUCCCGGACAACUAGGUCUCAUCCUAAUGGGGGUUAUACUUGAAACUCCUCCGUUAAGUGUGGUGGUGGUUUGGCAUCAGUUUGGGUUGAGCCAGAUGACAGAAGCUGACUGGAACAUCACGUGGUCCAUCAGUACUGGACAGCCCGGCCCUUCCACUUUCCUCAUAGCUUACAUUUGCAUUCCAGUUUAGCUGCUAUCUGGUAAGAAGCUAAAGUUUUCAUUUAAUGUGAUAAUAGAAAAAAAAUUUGAUGUUUAAACAUUUGGCUUUGAUUUGUGACUUCAGUUCCUCUCUGAAAUUUAAAUUUGUUCUGGUUUUGACAAUUACUUUUUUAAACAGAGU